AGGGUGCUGGUAAGCAGACCAACCCUCACCCUCUGGACCUGCCCAUCCGAGGAAAGAUCCCUGUUGUUUCUGGGGUGCCCAAUGUCUACCACACAACCCGGCUCUGUGAGAGGUUGUUCCAGCCGAAGAGUGACUUUGACCUGACGGACCCCAACGGCUACCUGUUGAGCUCUGGGUACAGCAGUCUCCAUGACCCCAACCUCAGGAAGUACCUGCACCGCAAAGACAUCCACCAACGCCUCCUUAACCUGGGCUUCAUCACCAAGGAUGAGAAAAUUAUCUGUUCAGUCAAAGAGUUGAACCGCUAUAGAGAUCACCUGGCGGAUGUGGAGUUGGACUGGGGUCGGAGAUUCAGGACCGAAC